rnacentral:rRNA from 1 species
AUUGAACGCUGGCGGCAGGCCUAACACAUGCAAGUCGAGCGGAUGAAGGGAGCUUGCUCCUGGAUUCAGCGGCGGACGGGUGAGUAAUGCCUAGGAAUCUGCCUGGUAGUGGGGGAUAACGUCCGGAAGCGGGCGCUAAUACCGCAUACGUCCUGAGGGAGAAAGUGGGGGAUCUUCGGACCUCACGCUAUCAGAUGAGCCUAGGUCGGAUUAGCUAGUUGGUGGGGUAAAGGCCUACCAAGGCGACGAUCCGUAACUGGUCUGAGAGGAUGAUCAGUCACACUGGAACUGAGACACGGUCCAGACUCCUACGGGAGGCAGCAGUGGGGAAUAUUGGACAAUGGGCGAAAGCCUGAUCCAGCCAUGCCGCGUGUGUGAAGAAGGUCUUCGGAUUGUAAAGCACUUUAAGUUUGGAGGAAGGGCAGUAAGUUAAUACCUUGCUGUUUUGACGUUACCAACAGAAUAAGCACCGGCUAACUUCGUG